rnacentral:rRNA from 1 species
GACGAACGCUGGCGGCGUGCUUAACACACGCAAGUCGAACGGAAAGGCCCUGCUUUUGUGGGGUGCUCGAGUGGCGAACGGGUGAGUAACACGUGAGUAACCUGCCCUUGACUUUGGGAUAACUUCAGGAAACUGGGGCUAAUACCGGAUAGGAGCUCCUGCUGCAUGGUGGGGGUUGGAAAGUUUCGGCGGGUGGGGAUGGACUCGCGGCUUAUCAGCUUGUUGGUGGGGUAGUGGCUUACCAAGGCUUUGACGGGUAGCCGGCCUGAGAGGGUGACCGGCCACAUUGGGACUGAGAUACGGCCCAGACUCCUACGGGAGGCAGCAGUGGGGAAUAUUGCACAAUGGGCGGAAGCCUGAUGCAGCAACGCCGCGUGCGGGAUGACGGCCUUCGGGUUGUAAACCGCUUUCGCCUGUGACGAAGCGUGAGUGACGGUAAUGGGUAAAGAAGCACCGGCUAACUACGUG